UUUUUUUAUCAUACUUUUUUGUUUUUUCGAUCCAUCCCUAUGCUGCGAAAGUAAAAGAACGAGGUAAUUUUGUGGUGGAGCAGCGUUGCCUUUUCGGUAAGAGGAGAGCGGUGAGAGUGGCCGGGCUCGCGAGCUCGCUUGGCACUCGCUGGGAGCGGGUGGCGCAGGCAAGGGGUACUGCUAUAGCGACGGCCGCUGCCGCCGCCGAGACAGGCAGCAGGAGCGGCGCGAGACGGAGGAGCACCAGGGCCGGCGGCCUAAGAUGGAGGGCCCGCAGCGCGGGUUGCUGAAGCUUUUCUUUCUGGUAGAGGGACACUUUCAGUUAUUUGACUGAAGUUAAUUCUGUGUUGAAGGGAUGAGGAAGAUGAGAGAGGGUAAGACAUUCGGUCUAUGCUAGCAACUGUCACGACUUUUAGACCCACUUCAAGAGGCACCCCUAGCGUAACUCUUGAGAGGUAUACACAAACUUUACUCCCAUGGAGUCUACACAGUUUAUCAGACGUUCUAAAGUCAACCCCUUUUUCUUCCUUUCCAAGAGUUCCUUUUCUAACUUCUACUCAUGGCGCACUUGUACUAAGAACUGUUGGAUGGAGAUCAACAAGGAUAAGUUUCUCACCUAGUUCUUCCACGAAUAAAGAUAGUUGUACCCAAGGUACAACCUCGGUUUCCUGUUAUGAGUCCCUCAUUCCUACUUUUCAUGAAGUAGGUGUUAGUAAACAGGAAAUGCCACUUUAUAGUGUCCCUACGUGUUUCCCUACAAAGAUCCUAUCACCGGAAACUUCAUUUUGGGAUGUCACACUUCGUACUUAUACCUGUCACCUUACUGUUCUUCUGAGUAGACUGGUGAACGCUAGGCUUACGCUUUGCAUAUUAAUGUAGUAGACUAAGAGGAGACCUCCAACUUCGACCGUUUCUGUAACAGAAGUGUAUGCUACACCUAAAGUUCCUCUCACUAUAGUUCACCCGUAGAGCGACCCUAUCAAUAGACGACUACUGUCUACUAGUUUAGGUAACCAAGAGGUAACAUUUAAGAGAGUACUAACAAGAGAAGGAAAGGCCUUACCAACGUUACUAGUACGAAGCCUGGGAAAUAGCCCUAUAGAGGUUCAUAUUGGUCGAACUCUGAGUCCUCCUUCGGGUUCUUCUUUGACCUACCUUCGAACAAGUACCACUACAAAAGUCCGGCGGACGGUUGAGACUAACCGAGACACAAAUACAACCAUGUCCACAGGUCAAAAAACCGUACUACGAACAGUGCUACCAGAAACGUCAGGAACCGAAGGAAAGAGGGAGGUUGUCUCCACCUGACUACUGUCGAUACGAGAACGAAACCCAAAAGUACCCAAACGAACGACCGAUGAGAAGAAGUGCAGAAAUGUUCAACAAGUUCCCGAGUCUCACCUUCUUGUAACGGAACUCCUGUCGUAAGUGGAAGGGACCGUCACACAAGUGACAAAAGAAGAAGAACUUAUAAGAAUAGACCCCCGUCUUCAGAAGACCACGUCAAGGUAAGUGGUGUUACAAACGGGAACAGGAGGAAACCAAACCAUAGAGCCACGGAAAUCACAAACAACCCUCAAUGGAACCAAAGUUCUUUGGUCGGUAACUUCUGGGUCACUUUUGUUUGUUCUAUGGGUCCGUCCAUGGACUCGUUCGGACCAUGUACUUGAGUUAGAAAAGCUAAGAUUAACCUCCCUAGGAAGGUAAACCUCGACACAAGUAACUCGAGAAGAAAUAGGACUGGAGGUAGACCGACGUGGUUAAGAUGAUGUAGAAACCCAAGGAGAAGGAACAGAAGGACUAAGAUUAGCAGUGUACACGGCUCUAGAGCUAACACGAGACGAUGAAGGUCGAUACGUCACUCCUAAUGAACACCACCACCUCUAGUAUGAACUGUAGUCCUAGAAGACGGGACAUGGAGAAGGACAUACGCUGAAAGAUGAAGAUGUGUUUCGACCUCUAGUGUUUCAAACACAGUCGGUAGGAAAUGAAGCCGAUGUACGAGUAGCGGAGUAUACGCAAGAAACGGAACUGCCCAUGUUAACCUAAGAUGCGGACAAAUUACAAGUGAUCCGACUAAAUGAGCAGACACUUCUAACUCAUUGUCACGAGAAGAGGGAUUAAAAGACAACUGUACCACUUCCAGCUACGACACCGGUCACUUACGGCGGGAGAUUUAAAUCGAUAGACACCGUAGUCAAGACUCAAGACUUUCGACCGACAAUUCUACUUCACCACUAAACAAUAGGUACCAAUUUGAUAGUAUCGAUCGAGGCACUCAAAAUAAUAGAACAGGGAAAAAACCGAAAUCGUAGACCUAGUGCUCCUACGGACACUUCAUGGACAACACUUAACAUACACCUACGACUAUUUCAUGGAUAACACUUAACAUAUACCUACGAUUAUUUAGAGUUAAUGAAGUACGGUCUUACAUUACAUUAACAACUGCAUGUAACUCGGAAAAAUAACUUAUAUAUGGUGACGUCACUUUUU
rnacentral:rRNA from 1 species